rnacentral:rRNA from 1 species
GAUGAACGCUGGCGGCGUGCCUAAUACAUGCAAGUCGAGCGAAUGGAUUAAGAGCUUGCUCUUAUGAAGUUAGCGGCGGACGGGUGAGUAACACGUGGGUAACCUGCCCAUAAGACUGGGAUAACUCCGGGAAACCGGGGCUAAUACCGGAUAACAUUUUGAACCGCAUGGUUCGAAAUUGAAAGGCGGCUUCGGCUGUCACUCAUGGAUGGACCCGCGUCGCGUUAGCUAGUUGGUGAGGUAACGGCUCACCAAGGCAACGAUGCGUAGCCGACCUGAGAGGGUGAGCGGCCACACUGGGACUGAGACACGGCCCAGACGCCGACGGGAGGCAGCAGUAGGGAAUCUUCCGCAAUGGACGAAAGUCUGACGGAGCAACGCCGCGUGAGUGAUGAAGGCUUUCGGGUCGUAAAACUCUGUUGUUAGGGAAGAACAAGUGCUAGUUGAAUAAGCUGGCACCUUGACGGUACCUAACCAGAAAGCCACGGCUAACUACGUGCCAGCCGCCGCAGUAA